AUCACAUACCUGAUUUGUUUGUUGUCCUUGAAGCAAAUACCAUGACAUGAGCUUGAAGAUUUCAAAGAUACAGAAGGUUGACAGAAAGAGGAUACACUGAUUUCAGCUGCGGACAUUGAGCUGAGUCUCUCCCUAAUAGAUUUGUUUCCCUACAAUAUGGCAGAUUAAUGUAUAUUCUUCUGAAGUCAUAGUACAUUCAUGGUCUGUAUAUAUGUUUGUAUGCUGCAAACCUGAGUCCGGUUUCAAAGUUUGGCCGCAGCUAGCUUGAUUUGGAGACAUUUCCUGUUAGGAGUUAAACUUUGGUUUGGAGGCAUCGAGCUUUGGCUGUAACUAGCUUUGUUACUUGGUAUACCUCUGUCAGCAUUCAGGAGCCGGGUAGUUGUUGAGCGGGUUGUGGGAGAGGCGGUCGGCGAGCGCGGGCUAGACGGGAAGGUGAUGCUUGCGAUGGCGACCAUGCCGGCGGGCAGGGCAAGGUCGAUUGUGUCCAUCAUGGUGUUUCCGAGGGAGAGCGAGGCAUCUGCCAUCGCGCAUCUGAAGAAGUCGAUGCUCGGGGCGAGGUUGACCACCGUGGCCGGCAU